UCUUUUUUGGGGUAAUUUUUUGUCGCUGUUUCAAACCAAAAAAAUAUACUAUUUGUGAUUCUCUUUCUGCUACUUGCAACUCUUUUUGAGAAAUCAAGUAUAUAUUAGGCCAUAUUCCUCUUUUGAGGACAAUGCUCGGUUUAUUUUCCUAUGCAUAAAUUCCUCUUAACCAAUUCUAAACCAUAUCCCGGCUCUGUAUCUUAUUUUCUUAGCUAAGUGGCACAGUAAAGUUUUUGAGAGGGAAUCCAGUGAUCAUUUUUAUUUUUUGUCUUUCGUGUGUAAAUCCACUUUUGUGAUCUAUAUUUUUUAAAUUAAUGCGCCUCUUUUUUUAUGGAGCAGUGUCUGAUGGAUGCCCGCAAGAAGAUUGAACACGAGAUCGAAAGUAAAGCCAAGGCGUCCUUGAAAGAAGGGUUAGGUCAAGAGCUUAAAACUGUACGCACUCGAAUCUCAUCAUCAUUUUUUUAUGUGUUUUGAUUUAACCCCUUUUUUGUACAUUUUAUUAUGAAUCUCAUCAUCAUUUUUUUUGGGCAUGAAGUUUGUGGAGAUGGAGUUUGUGGGAGAUGGAGUAUAUGGUGUGAAUAUAGAUUCUGGGAUGGAGUUUUUGGCAAUGCCUGUUUGAAUUAUUUUUCUGAGGCAUUUGGCAUACUGAGGUAGUUGAUUUUUUGUUUUUGAGACAAUGUGUGUGUUCUACACCAAGCUGGGCCAGUGUUGUGUUAUACAUAGUUCUAUUUCUAGGCAAUUCUAGCCAGACUCCAUUCCCUCACACAAAUCUAGGCUGAGCUAGUACUUGCGACGGAGGGACACGUGGGUGGGCGGCAGCGGCCAAUGUGGGGUAUGCGUGCGUGCGUGCUUCGCGUGGCGUGACGAGCAUUGUGGUUGGGAUCGGAUGUCCACACCACGAACCAGGCUGUGACUUUGACCACCUGCUAGUUGUCCUUCUUCUUUUUCCUCACACACGAAAAAAUAAACCUGCUACUUUUAUUAAGUAUUGUUUUUGUGUAACUGCAUCUCACUCAGCAACACCUUUCUAAACCUACACUACUAACCGAAUCAAUCAUAAUCGCUGUGUUUUUCACUUUCCCUUAUCUGAAUUUAGACUCCAAGAUCAUAAUCCUUGUCUCUGAUGCAUAACUUUUUUGAAUGAUUUUGGUGCAGUAUUUUUUUCUUUAGCUAACUGCACAGUAAAGUUUUGAGAGGGAAUCAAGUGAUCAUUUAUCUUUCUCUUUUUUGUGUUUGUGUUAAAUUCACUUUUUCUUUUUAGCUAACUGCCUCUCUUUUUGUUAAAUGCAAUCACCCAUUUUGUAUGCUUUCUACAAUGUCUACUGCUUGGUUUUUCGUUAAGCAUUAGCAAACAAGGGAAGUUACCCUGCAACAUAUGUGUGUUGUUUUUGCUAUUUAUCUUUUUUUGGCCUAGAGUAUGUUCGCAAAAGAUACAUGUUACUAUGCAACACUAAUGUAUCAUAUGCACUUUUUUUGUGAACACAGCCACACCCAGGUACAGAUAUUGAAGAUGAAGAAGGGAACCCUGGUAGCGAUAGGAAUGAAGAAGGGAGACAUCAGUGUGUGGAAGAUACUGAUUUAGAUGAGAGAGGCUAUGAUGUUGAGAUCACCGACACUGAAGCAUCAGACGAUUUGCUGUAUGAAGAAGUUCUGACGGUGGUGUGUAACUCUUUAUAUACAAAUACACACUUUUUCUUUUUCCAAGGUUAUUAAUUCAUAUAGGAAGUUUUUAACUAGGCAACACAUGUUGAAAGAGAGGCUAUGAUUUUUUUUUCUUUUUUGAUGUUUUAAAAAAUAGCUAAUGAAUGAUUUGUGUUGCCUCUUUUUUCCCCUUGCUCCACCCUAAUGAAUUUUUUCUCUUUUUUUGCUUUUUGCUAGCUGACUAAGAGUGCUCAAAGGAAAGAACAUCGGAAAGCUGUUUUGCAACGAAAAAAGAAGGUACGUCACUGCUCUUUUCUUUUUUUCAUUUGUUGGGGUUCCAUUGUUUCUAUAGUUGUGUAGCUCAAAAAAUUUCACACACCUUCUCUUACCUUCUAUAUUUUUUCUUUUUUGCAACAGAGAGCAAGGAUUGACCCAAACACAAUCAAAGCCACAAUUGAUGAGAUUGCGACCAAAGCUUACAGCCGGUGUAGCGUGCCAUACUUCUCCGAGAUUGUGAGUUUCGUGUGUAAGAGCCACCACAGGGUCCAGCUUGUUAGGAACAGCGGUUUCGGGUAUCUGUUGGAGCUGGUUGACUGUCCUGUACCCAGGGGUUUUGUGCAGUGGAUCGCUGACAAUGUUGACACAAAAGCAGAAGCAAUUGUUUUCAACAAGAAGAGCAUUCCACUGAAUGCUCAGUCAGUGGAGUUUGUGUUGGGGAUUCCUUCAGGGGAAACAAUCAUAAACACUAAAGAAGAAGAUGCUGGCAAACAAGCUUUUCUUGCGCUUUUUGGUUUGACAGAAGUCCCAACAAUCAAAUUCUUUGGCAAUAAGCUGAUGAACGAAGAUAUGUCUGACGACCAGAUCAUCCGUUGUUUCCUGGUUGUGGCAUUAUCAACAUUCCUCUGCCCGACAUCAAACACUAAACCAAGCACCAAAUAUAUGGGAGCUCUAGUUAAUGUGGAGCAACUCAAGCAACUAAAUUGGUGCAGGUUUGUUCACGAUUGGUAGUUGAUGUAUAUAAAGAAAUACCAAAAGGAAAAGCUGAAGCAGAACCGAACAAUGAUGACUCUAGGAGGAUGUAUAUACCACCUAGCAGUAUGUCACUCUUUUUUUUCAAAUCCAAUGUGUUUUUUAUGUGAUUAAGCCAUUUUUUGUGUUUGUUUAUCUUUUGUUGGUGUAGUCCUAUAUCAUCUAGUCUAAUGUUUUCCCAAUUUUUUUGUUUUUUUGCAGGUCCGUUGCCUUGAUUUUACUGAUUUUGGCUCAAUUCAAAUCCCAUCUUUGAUGCCAGGAUAUGUGUUUGGAAGGGAGAUAUGGUCAAGCAUUUAAGUGACAUGACCAUUGGAAGAGAUGGAAAGUAUGGAUGUCUGACAGUAAGUUCUUUCACCCUCCUUUUUCUUUUUCUCAUCCAAAAGCAUGACAUCCUUUGUGCAACAUUUUCUUAUUUUUAAAUUUCUUACACUUUUUUUAUUUCUGUAUGCAUUUUUGUAGAUAAAAGAAGUAUCAGAAACCUGCUAUAAGGAUGGAACACAUGAGUGGGCAAGUACAAUUAAGAAUUCAAAUUUCAGGAAAGCGAUAAACAAUGUUGCAGGGAAUUCUUUGUCUGACAAGGUUUUUGUGACCCCGUGCUUUUUUUCAUUGAAGCAAACCCUUCUUUUUUAUGCGGUUUCUAUAUGUACAGCCUACGCCUUUUUUACGAGUUUUCACUUUUUGUGAUGCAUCAUGUAUUUCUUUUGGACCAGGUCAAAGAGGAUAUCUUCCUCGCUUACGAAAACCAUAUGAAGAAUGAAGACCUAAAUACUUGCAUCAAAGCUAAAGGGCUUUUGCUAGACUCGAUCCGCAUCAUAACCAAUGCCUCUGGUGAAUCAGGUGAUACAGUUAAAGUGGGCUCAACAGGAACUGAAUUGAAUGCAAGCCAACAAUCCAACAACUCAGGAGACACUGUCAAACUACAAUCGACUGAACUUCAAGAGGAAAAUGAUGGAGGUGUGUCACCAUUUUUUUGCUGUAAUCCUUCAGUAGUAGUUCCUUUUCUAAUGUGUGCCUACAAGUCAGUCUAUAAGUCAGCAUUUUUACAAAGGUGUCACACCUCCCGUCUGGUGCCCUUUUUUUUCUCCUCGCCAUGCAGUCUGUUGGUUCUUCUGUAUCAAAAACGAAUGUUCUAUCAACUAGCCAACAGUCUGUUGGUUCUUCUGUAUCAAAAACAAAUGCUGGAAAAGGGAGCAGAAAUGAAGCUGAUGGGUUUUGUAGCAGCCCUCCUAAAGUCCAUGAAAUAGGCAAGCUGAAGGUGCGCACUGCAACACACAGCUUUUCUGAUCUCACACCAUUUUUUGGUUGGCCACACAUUUUUUCUUUUUCUUUUUUCGUCUAACCAUGUACCCUUAAACAGUCUGACUCCGUAGCACAAUGUCAAAGAGAGCAUUCCUCAAAGGACCCCAUGCCGGAAAUGUGUGCUCCAGCCGCAUCAACUUUCACUCUAGGAAAUCAAGAUGGAGGUACAACUUUUUGGUUUUUUGUAACUUUUUAAUGUUCUUUUCUUUUUCUCGUUCUCUUGAACUUACAUUCCUAACUCCAUUUUUUUCAUUUUUGAACCACAGCAAUUUUGAUACAAUACAAAAGGAGGAGGAUAGAUGCCCAAUCAAGCAGCGAACCACAUGAUCCCUGUUCAAUCAAGCAUAAGAAGCCUUUGGAAGCUCUUUUGAAGGUACAGAAUGUGCUGUUUUUUUUCUUUUUUCGUAAUGCAAGUUGAUUUUCAAAAAGAUUCGUCUAACAUAGUUUUUUGCUUUCGUGUUUGCAUUCUUUUCCUGCAACAGGAAGACAAAAAAAUCCCCUCAAAACAGGGUGAAGAAAAGGAUGAAGUCCACACUCUAGAUAAUCAACAAGAGAAAAGCAGCAGCCUCAACUACAUGCUUAUUGGAGAAGCAAAAGAGAACCACGUUCAAAAUGUAGCAGAGAGUGCCAAGGAGGACAUCCCAACAGAGCUCAUUCAGUCCAAAAUAAUUUUCACGGAAUCAAAGCGAACAACAUUUUCUGGUUUUCAAAACACAUCAAUUCAGGAAUUGGUACACAAAAUUUAUUUUUCUUCAUGUCAGCAGUGGCAUUCAUAGACAUGCUUACCACUCUCUAGUUGUCAAUCUUUUUUUGUCUUCUUCUAUGUGUUUAACUCUGUCUUUUUUCUUUGUUUUUUUGUUUGUUCACUUGAAAACAGGACCUGCAGAGGAAAAAUUUCAGGGGGCGCCCGGAUAACCUGAGCAUAGACAUUAAUGUAAAAGCGCAACCAGAGAGUGGUAAGCAUGUCUUCUAUUUUUUAUGCUCUCAAUUUUAUAAAAAUUGAAGCAUAGACAUUAAUGUACCAGCACAAUCAGAGGUCUCCUUUCUUGUGUGUGUGUGUGUGUGUGUGUGUGUGUGUGUGUGUGUGUGUGUGUGACUGAAAUGCUUUUAUUUGUUUUCAGGGACACAUACAGAUGAGGUUUUCGCAAGAGGCUAUAAAAUCAUUAGCAACUUUCUAGACAAGGCAAGAGAAAAAUAUUUCUUCGCCGAGGAUAGCACCCCCUCAUUCAGGAUCUCUGAAGAUGUGGAUGAAUGUGGAAAUAUAAUCGAAGAACAUGAAUUGUGGAGGCCUGUAUGGAUGAAGGAUGAGUGUUACAAUAAAAAGUUAGAGGCUAGUUUUUCAAUAUCUUUUUUUCAUCCACAAGUGGUUUCUCCUGUCAACAUAAAUGCCAUAUUUUCAAUGCACAUAACAUUUUUUCUUUUUCUCAUAAACAGGCAACGAAGUUGAAGAUCGCCAGAAACUUCAAGGAAGUACAACCGACAUUUGUGUGCAAGGGAAUACAAACUUGAAGGUAUUCUACCCCCCAUCUGUUCAAAUCUUUUGCUAUAAACGCUGGCUAUUUUUUUGACUUUUUUGGUCUCUCUCUGUGUUUUUGUUACUUGGUUUUUGUGACGAGCAACACAGAAACAGGGGAGCAGUAGUUCAAACUACGAGCUAAGCAUUCAGUGCGCCCAAAGGGAAGUACAGAGAAGUUUGUUGUGUGAGACGCCACACCCCCCAAAACCAGUUGAGGAGAUUGUUGAUUUGGUCAGUUUUCGCAAAAAACUUUCUUGUCUUGUAUUAGUUUAUCACAAAUAGGCUUUUUUCUCCAAGCAUUUCCAGGGUUGACUUUUUCCUUCCUUUUUUCUUUUUUAUUCACCCUAUGUGGCGCAGACAACACCUGAAGUUCAAAUGUCAACUGGGUGGAAUCACAGGCAAACUUGCUACUCACCAUGCAAAAAUAAUAACGAGUACACAGCCAAGACUCCCCCACUCAAAAUGAGGAAGGACUACUCCAUGGUUCCAAUAAUAGGAAAAAGGUUAUUUCCAGAGGAGGAAAGCUGUCAACAAGAAUCCAGCGGCAGCAAAAGGAAUCCAGUACAUCUAAUGGAAGAAAAAACUUCAGGACAACUCAAAAUUCAUGGAGAAAACAUGUUUAGGCAAGAGCGCAGCACAUUGGUCAACAGAACUGAUGAUUUUUACAACACAAAUCUCUCAUUAGGAAGGCCAAGCAGUUUCCGUGGAAAAGAAAAUGUACCACCAAAGAGGAUUGUCCAACCAAGCAGGUACCGUAGCUCACCAUACGACUGCAGCGAGAGGGGCCCAAUAAUGCCACACGAGAGAAAGAUGUAUGAGAACAUAACAUCCUUGGCCAAUGUUGAAGGAUCGUGAGUUUUUUUUCUCAGAAUCACUAAUUUAUUUUUUUGCAAAAUGUUUUUUUUUGCCUUAUACUCACUGUAAAGACUUUUUGUGAGUAAGCCUAACCUGCAAGCUGACAUGUUUUCCUUUUGUUCUAUAUGUAUAGCAAACCUGCAGUUUUGAUUGACAUAACCGUCGCCACAUUUGGACAAUUGGGUAACUCGAUGAAAAUAGAUGGCCGGGUCCAGGCCUAUGUCAUAAAUGUCUAAUGUAGGCACCUAUUUAAUGAAAAUCAUCCUAGGAACUCACUCAAGCACUAUUUCUUCCACACUGCAUCUGAAUAUUUCCUGGGCAAAUGGAAAAAUGAUGAGGCAAGAAUUUGGUGGAGGAAGAAACUGAUUACGAGUUUCAUUGGAGCUGGAAAAGCACAUAAUCUUUCGAUGUCAGACAAGGUUUUUUGUCAAACUUCCUCUUUUCAUUUUUCCACAACACAAGUUCAGCUAUAAUUUAGUUUAGUGUUUUUUCCUUCUUUCAUAUACACUAACUUGUUAUCUAUAUUUUCCCUUUUCUGCAUCAACUCCAAAAUGGAUGUACACAAGUUGUACUUUCCAACACUACACGAGGAACAUUACUUUCUGUUCGUCGUCGACAUCAAGGGUCGCACGUUUUAUUUUCUGGAUUCUUUGUAUGAUGAGAAGAGCUCAUAUCAUAUGAACAUAAAAAAGAAGAUUAUCUCAAGCUUUAUAUGCACUUGGUACGAAGCUCGGCUUGAGCCAAUGGAUUUCAAUGCAUUCCCUGCUGUUUACCCUAAAGUCCCUCAACAAGAUAACGAUAUUGAUUGUGGCAUUUUCACUAUGAAACUAAUGGGAUGGUGCCCAAGGAAUCCAACCCCUAUAGUUUUUUCACCAAAAGAUGUCCCAGAUGCAAGGAUCCGAUAUGCUGUUGAUCUCAUGUUCAGCCACUACAACACUUUGGAUGACGAGAAGAAGCGUGUCAAGGAGUUCUGCCUAUAGACAUGAAAAAGUGCUGACAGCUCCUAAAAGACGCCACUCACAGUGACAAGAGGAGCUGUAUCAAGAGUCAUAUCAGCAAAAUCAAAGGAAAGAGGAGUUGU